GCCGGGCAUGAUGGCGCAUGCCUGGAAUCCCAGCAACAUGGGAGGCUGAGGCAGGAAGAUUGCAAGUUUGAGGCCAGCCUCAGCAACUUAGCGAGACCUGUCUCAA
rnacentral:sRNA from 1 species